UCGUAUAGUGGUUAGUAUCCCCGC
rnacentral:ncRNA from 2 species